AUAAAUAAAAAUAUUACGGCUAUCAGGUACAGUACAUAGGUCAGUUGAAGUACAUGGGUCAGUUGAAAAUCUCUCUCUGCUGUGUGAGAUACUGUGGAUAGUUAUUCUGGUUAAUAUGUAUGAGCUGAGAUGGUAAGUUCUAGUCUCUCCAUCCCUCCCUCCCUUAUGCAGGUGUAUGUGAGCCCAUGUGUAUGAACGGCGGGCGGUGCGUGGUAUGUGUGUGACUGUCCAUCUGGAUGGAGAGGAAAGCGGUGCGAUAAACGUCAGUGGGCUCACGUAGGACUUCCACAGUUGCACCGCUACCUGUAAACAGACGCCUCCACGCUAGCUGCGUACGGGAACAAUUAAUCAUGGCGUUUGGGAUGUGUAGUGGUUCACCGACUGCAGGCUGUGUCAUGKCCUCACAAACAAGCAUUUAAUAGCAGCAGGUAGUCACAUAGAAUGUUAACAGCUUGUAAAGCGCUAUAGGCAAGCCUGUUUAGAGCACAAUAUGGACACAAUUAUAACAUACCAAAAUAUUUUCUGGUAAGGACAUAAGGACUUCAUAACACAUUCAUAACAAUACAUUUAGAACGUUCAUAAGCCAUACAUAACUCUUUCAUAAGCUACUCGUAACUCAUUCAUAAGCCAUAGUUAACUCAUUCAUCAGCAGUGGUUUGUGAAUUGAUUGAUGUUGUGUUGUCUCUCCCCAGCCACUUGUCUACAGAAGUGUCUGAAUGGAGGACAGUGUGUUGGCCAUAACACUUGCCACUGUCCUCCAGGCUGGCAGGGCAUGCUAUGCCAAGUCCCACUCUGUGAACAGAAGUGUCUUUACGGGAGCCGUUGUAUCCGCCCUAAUGUCUGUGUCUGCAGGAAAGGAUAUUCAGGGGUCCUGUGUUCCCAUAAGGUUUUACACACCAGCCACGCUUCUGGAAGAGCGCGAUGGUCCCCUUUUGCUUUGUGCAGCUCUAACAAAGCCUGGUCAACAGUUGGGGCAAUGACGUACAUGGCAGUGUUGUUCGCAUACAGAUGAAUAAUACAAGUUAACAGAUAUACCAUUAUUAUUUACAUAAAUAGUAAAGAGAACAGGUCCCAGUACUGACCUCUGUGGUACACCUUUUGUAAUAUCCAUGAACAAUUUAUGUUCAAAUCUGUGCAUACCAAACCAUUUAUAAAUGAGGCCCCUGGUAAUGAUGCAGUGAGGAAGUUAGGGGGACAGGGGUUAGAGGGAUGCCUCACCUAGCCCAGGGGCCACAGACAUUCACUAUGUGAGUCACUGGAGGUGGAGGAUGAGGAGGAAAUGGGGAUUAAACAGAUAAAACCACUACCAAACUGCAUCAACUCUGAGCCAAUUACGACAGGCUAUUCUGCUCCAGCAGCCUUUUGUGGUUGGUUUUCAAAUCUCAUUUAAAUGAGUCUUAGUUGCCCUGUUUGAGAUCAGGAGGAUUAGUCUUUUUGCAAGUCAGUUGAUGUUUGCGUAUCUUUGUUCUAAUCCCCCGUACUCUGCAUACUGGCAGAUAAUUCUAGUUGAACCCAAACAAGCAGCCUCUGCUUUUGAAAUAGUGUUCAGAAUAAUUCUGUGGCAACCUCACCAACUCCUGGAUGGUAAAUAUCACGGGAAAACCUGAGAUCCACCCUCAGCGAUUGUCUCUCACGGUUAAAACUUUGAGAAGCGAAACAAACUUUGUGAUGGAAAUUACUGUUGUAUUCUCUGCUGUUUAUCCCUCACAAGAUGCUGAAAGAUAUUAGUUUAUGGAAAUGGAUUUCUUUUGGAAUAACAGAAUUGCUUGCAUGAAAUGAAAACGCUGUUCAUUUUGUCACAGAAAUGACAAUGGAUCUUCCUCUCCAACAAAUUUAGAACUUCCCUUUCUGUGUCUGUCUGACUGUCUCUGUCUGAUUAUGUCUGUCUGUCUCUGUCUGACUGU